AUUGAACGCUGGCGGCAGGCUUAACACAUGCAAGUCGAGCGGGGGAAGGUAGCUUGCUACCGGACCUAGCGGCGGACGGGUGAGUAAUGCUUAGGAAUCUGCCUAUUAGUGGGGGACAACAUCUCGAAAGGGAUGCUAAUACCGCAUACGUCCUACGGGAGAAAGCAGAGGAUCUUCGGACCUUGCGCUAAUAGAUGGGCCUAAGUCGGAUUAGCUAGCUGGUGGGGUAAAGGCCUACCAAGGCGACGAUCUGUAGCGGGUCUGAGAGGAUGAUCCGCCACACUGGGACUGAGACACGGCCCAGACUCCUACGGGAGGCAGCAGUGGGGAAUAUUGGACAAUGGGGGGAACCCUGAUCCAGCCAUGCCGCGUGUGUGAAGAAGGCCUUAUGGUUGUAAAGCACUUUAAGCGAGGAGGAGGCUACUUUAGUUAAUACCUAGAGAUAGUGGACGUUACUCGCAGAAUAAGCACCGGCUAACUCUGUGCCAGCCGCCGCUGUAA
rnacentral:rRNA from 1 species